CUGCAUGAAGUUGGAAUCGCUAGUAAUCGCGGAUCAGCAUGCCGCGGUGAAUACGUUCCCGGGCCUUGUACACACCGCCCGUCACACCAUGAGAGUUGGAAAUACCCGAAGCCUGUGAGCUAACUUAAAGAGGCAGCAGUCGAAGGUAGAGCCAAUGAUUGGGGUGAAGUCGUAACAAGGUAAC
rnacentral:rRNA from 1 species